GUACCUACGGGGGGCAGCAGUGAGGAAUAUUGGUCAAUGGACGCAAGUCUGAACCAGCCAUGCCGCGUGCAGGAUGACGGCUCUAUGAGUUGUAAACUGCUUUUGUACGAGGGUAAACCCCGAUACGUGUAUCGGGUUGAAAGUAUCGUACGAAUAAGGAUCGGCUAACUCCGUGCCAGCAGCCGCGGUAAUACGGAGGAUCCGAGCGUUAUCCGGAUUUAUUGGGCGUAAAGCGUCCGCAGCCGGUUUAUUAAGUAUAGAAUAAAACUUCGGGGCUCAACCCCGUCUCGUUCUAUAAA
rnacentral:rRNA from 1 species